UUUUUUGUGUAUCUUUGUUGUCCUGUUCCACAAUUCUAGCAUCAAGUUGAUCGGUGGGUGGGUUCAUGUCACUCUAAUUUAACAUGCAAACUAUUUAUUUACCUAAUUUUAUUGCAAGGACUAAAUAUUAGAAACACAUUUACACUAUUUUUUCCCAUACAUAAUAUUGAUCAAGUUCUUUAUCUAAUAUGAAUCAUAUAUAACAAGCAAGCUAUCUAUCCAUCAAAUUCUAACUCAAAAAUAUAUAGAAAUAAAUAAUCCUCUCCAUUCUCCCUCAUUCUAAAAAACUCAUUUUUCUCUAUCUCUAAAGUAUAAAACAAAGCAUUAUAACAAUAAAUGAAGGGAGGAUGGAGUAGCUAACCUUUACAACACUUCGAACGAGUGAAAUCCCCAUGAAAAUAAGAAAAAAAAAUCAGGCAGCACCUCCCUAAGCUUGCUUGCUCGCCAUGGAGAAAGAACCCGAGCUCUCAGUCUGAUGAGUGGCUCGGGUUCGGCGAGGAAGAAGAAGAUUUUUAUAGGGCAGGUGUUUAGUCCCGGUUGGAAAAACCAACCGAGACUAAAUCCCGAUUAGUAACACCAACCGGGACUAAAUGAGAGGCCUUUAGUCCCGGUUGGUUUUUCCAACCGAGACUAAAUGCU
rnacentral:lncRNA from 1 species